GCCAGGCAUGGUGGUGCAUGCCUGUAAUCCCAGCUACUCGGGAGGCUGAGGCAGGAGAAUCACUUGAACCCGGGAGGUGGAGGUUGUAGUGAGGAGAGAUCGCACCACUGCACUCCAGCCUGGGCGACAGAGUGAGACUCUGUCUCAA
rfam:Gorilla gorilla gorilla genomic chromosome, chr16, whole genome shotgun sequence